GUCCAGGGGCGGGAAUCGAACCCACAACCGUCUGCUUACCGGGCAGGUGCCAUGUCCACUAGGCUACCCUGGA